ACAUCAGAAGCAGAGAAAGAACCCCACCCAGGCAGGAUAGCAGCAGUGGCUUCUGUUUUUCAGAGGACGUAAUGCUGACUGCCAGUUCUCAUUGCCUAGUGACUUUCUGGCUCCAUUUAUUUUGUUGUGUUGUACGCUUUCAGCUCUGAGGUACGUUAAGGCAAUAAACUGAAAAGGCCCCACUUUGCUGUUCACUAGUUUGAACCGAUAACUCCCAGAGCUGGGGGAUGGAGGAGCUGCCCAGGACACAGGCAGGAUCUUUGUUUUCUGUUUUUUAUUGGCAGGUCUUCUCAGGGAUCCUACAGCUGCAAAAAGAGUCUUGGAAAUUUCAGAAGUAAAACAAUGAAGUAAUUCCAGCCUCUUGGGUCUUUUGUUACACCAGAGAGACUUUUCUCUGCGAUCGAGGAAGUUGUCUCAUGCACAGGAAAAUUUGAUCUCAGCUUAUUCUAAUUUUGGUACAUUACUGUCUCAGAGCUGAGGCCUGAGUUCCUACCAUUAGUAAAAUCACUCUUUGGGGGUGAUUCUGACCCCAAUUAAAAUAUAUUUGGGGGUACCACCUGGCCUGUUGUUCAUUACUGACAUCUGGUCAAGACUUGGCUUCCUGGAACCAGCCGAGUGGUACAGGAGAGGACAGUACAGAAGCGGGUGAGACGCAGAGCGUGCACGCUGACGAAGACAGGAAGCCAUAGUCGGAGCCCAGGCUGCAGGCUGAGGUUUAUCUGAAUAGACGUUUCUGAUCACUUGCAUGCUGUAUACUGGGCUAACCUGAUUUUGCCAGGAAUCCACUUGGAAGGCAGAGUAGGUGUGCAGAGUCGCACGGGACGGCUUCGGAAGUGCUCAAGUGCGAUUUUAGUCUGGCUGAGAAGCUUCUUGGAUUUUCCAAGGUACUUUCCAUUUGAUUUUUCCUCUCUCUCAGAUCGAAAGAUCACCAAGACCUGCCUUUUUCUGCAGCUGUUGGACAGAGCUGAUUAGGGUUGGCGUG
rnacentral:lncRNA from 1 species